rnacentral:lncRNA from 1 species
UUAUCUAAAUUUUUAUUUAUUUUUAUAAAAAUUUAAAAUAUAUAAAUAAUUUUUAAAUAAGUUAAAUUAUUUGUAUUAAAUAUAAAUUUUAAUUAAGCUGAGUAAAAAAAAUUAUUAAAAAUAUAUAAAAAAGAAGAAAGAAAAUUUAAAAAUGAAACAUGAAAAAGGUAAAAAUAAAAAUAAAAAUUAAAGGAUAAGAUAGAUAAAAAAAAGAAUAGAGGCAAAAAUGUAAGAACAAUAAAUCAUUUUUUUCUAAAAAUUAUAUAUAAUUAUAAUAAUAAUUUCUCUCUCUCAUCUUAAUUUUUUUCUUAUUUAUUAUUUUUUUAAAUUCAAUCAGGAUCCAGUGCGGGUGGGACCCAGUAGGGGAGAGAGGAGGGAGGGUUUUUUUUUUCCCUCUGAAUAAAUUUUAAAUAGUUUAUAUUAUUUGUAUUAAAUAUAAAUUUUAAAUUUACAAUAUUGAGCAUUUAGAUAUAGCUAGAUUAUACAUUAAAAACAAAAAAAAUUGAUAGAGUUUAAAUUAAUUUUAUAUUUUAUAAAAAUUAAUUGUAAGAAUUGUCAAAAUAUCGUUGACUUGCUCAAAUCUAACAUAUAAAAAGUUGGAUAAAAAAAAUUGAAAGAUUGGAUUUAUACUUUCAUCCUUAAAAUAAAAAUAUAGAACGAAUAACACUUUAAUCCCCACAUUUUAAUGUAUUAUAAUUUAAAUAAUGAGGUAUGUAAUAUUUUUAUUUUCAAAUUUUAAUUAGUUGUUUAUUUUUUGGUUGUUUAUAUUAUAUAAUUUUUUAACUCUUUAUUUUGUUAUUUUUAAAUUUAUUUAUUUAUUUAUUUUUAUGAAAUCGUUCUGCCGCAACACGCGGGUCCUUCACUGGUAUAUGGAAAAUAAAUUUU